UACGGAGGGGGCUAGCGUUGUUCGGAAUUACUGGGCGUAAAGCGCGCGUAGGCGGACCUGCAAGUCGGGGGUGAAAGCCCGAGGCUCAACCUCGGAACUGCCUUCGAUACUGCGGGUCUCGAGUCCGGGAGAGGUGAGUGGAAUUCCUAGUGUAGAGGUGAAAUUCGUGGAUAUUAGGAAGAACACCAGUGGCGAAGGCGGCUCACUGGCCCGGUACUGACGCUGAGGCGCGAAAGCGUGGGGAGCAAACAGG
rnacentral:rRNA from 1 species